AUUUAUAAUAUCAUUACACAAUAAGUAGUCCAAAGGCAGCUUGAAAAGUACCCGCAAAGACAGCAAUAAGCACAAUAACAACAACAAAAACAACAACCCUCCAAAAGGUUGCACAUUUACAGUCCUUGCUCUGUGGAAUGAACAACAGAUCCUUCUAUGAGGCCCUCAACAAGGAUAUCUUCAACUAGGCAGAUCUGUAAAGUGAAUGAUAGUGAAGAGUUCACGUUGCAGUCUUCAG
rnacentral:lncRNA from 1 species